rnacentral:tRNA from 1 species
GCCCAGAUGGUGAAUUGGUAGACACGCUAGCCUUAGGAGCUAGUGCCGUAAGGCGUGGAAGUUCGAGUCUUCUUCUGGGUACCA